rnacentral:tRNA from 1 species
GGAGGUGAAUCUGGCCUGGUGGCCGGCCUGGACUUCAAAUCCAGUUGUGGUUCACCGGAAGGUGGGCUGGGUGGGUUCGAUUCCCAUGCACCUCCGCCA